AUACAAUCAAGCAGUAUCAGACACAGGAGGAUCCUAUGGGAUCUGUUUCUGCCCUAGGAAACAAAUGGAUGUAAGUAGGAGUUACACACUCAUCUCGGAGGAAAAGCGAUACCCGUGGUUAUACAAAGAUGGGCGACCAGAUGCAGAGGAGCCUUGGAGGAAGCGGGAUUCUGGCCAAUGUGAAGAAGGACAAUGUGUGACAAGCCCUCAAGAAUGCGUGAGACCCCG